rnacentral:lncRNA from 1 species
UGCCACAAGUUAAUCCUCCUCCCUCCCACCCCCCCANNNNNNNNNNNNNNNNNNNNNNNNNGACCAGCGCGGCUGCAUCUCCCCCGAGGACUUUGAAAAGAUUGUGGCCAGUUUCCCCUUCUCCUACUAUGGCCUGGGGAAAGACCGCGAGGGACCCUACAGCCGCCAGGAGAUCACCGACUACUUCAUGCGGGCCUGCGCCAUCUUCUCCAAGCUAGGCCUCGGCUUCCUGCACGACUUCCAGGAGGCCACCUUCAAGAAACCCACCUUCUGCCACAGCUGCAACGGCUUCCUCUGGGGUGUCUCCAAGCAGGGGUACAGAUGUCGGGACUGUGGCAUGAGCUGCCACAAGCAGUGCAAAGACCUGGUGGAGCUGGAGUGCAAGAAGAGGUUCCAUGCCAGAGCCUCAGAGGGGGGCACGCCCCGUGCAGCCACGCCUGCCGCCACGCAGCACCCCAGCUCAGGGUCGGAGGAGGAGGCCUUCCCCUUUCCCCCGGUGGGCGAGCAGGCAGAGGAGCGGGCCAUGGUGCUGGCAGGGGUGCCAGCUGGGCGGCGGCGCACCCGGGACGCCUGGACGCAGACGGACGGCACCAGCCCCACGGCGGAGGGCCACGAGCCCCACGGUGGGGCGGGAGGCUGCAGCAGGGACCAGAAGCUCCUAGAGCAGCUGCAGGAGAUGGAGAAGGAGCGGAACCAGCUGCUGCUGGAGAACAUCGGCCUGCACUGCCGCAACGCCCAGCUGGAGGUGGAGAACGGGCGGCUGCUGACGGGCGAGGCCGAGGGGCGCCGGGGCAAGGUGGAGGAGGGGGGGCACAGCCAGGCUUCGCUCACCCUGCUCCUGGAAGGGAUGGAUUCCCUGCACCUGCAGCGCGACUCAAAAGCAUGAACCUGCCGGACUCGCCGCUCACCCCCUCCGGCUCCCAGAGCACCCGCAUCGCCCGGCACCGCCCAGGGACUCAAAGCCAGCGGUGCAAUCCCACACCCUCGGGCCCCUGCAAGCCAGGCUGGGCACCACGGAUCCCGGACUGUACCUGGGCACGGCCCCAAUAAAGGGAAUGCAUCUUUGUCGAGCUGAGCCUGGGCUAGGACAACAGCUGCCCUCUCUGCUCCAUGCCACCGCGUUGCGGGGCGCCUGUCGACCGCUCUGCCAUUGGCCUUGCCUCAGUUUCCCCUCCUGGCCUUUGUUAGGCUGUGAAGAUAAUUAUGAAGAUGGGAGCGGGCUACAGGCGAGAGCAUCCAUCAGCAUCACCCAGGGUAACAAUGGGNGGAGCGGGGUACAGGCGAGAGCAUCCAUCAGCAUCACCCAGGGUAACAAUGGGCACGACGGGGGGAUCCCCAAACAACCCCCUGAAACUCAAAAGCCCUGAACCCCAGGAUUCGGGUCCCUUGACGCCAAUGGAGUCACUGCCCGUCAGCUGUGGGGAGAGGUGAACGGGGCCCGGGGUCCACUCCCUGCACUUGGGGGGAAGGGGAUCAAGGGAGCAGGAUGAGGCCAGCUCAGAGCUUCAGCCCAGCUCCACCCUGACCCACCCCCUCCAUGCACCUGGUCCCCUCCCACGACAGGGCAUUGGCAGAGCUGUUGGGGGAGGGGAGCCCCGGGCUGGGGAGAGGGGUGCAGCACUGCAGGAUGGGGAUCCGGGGGACUCUCACACGGCCCCUCUCUGCUUGGCCCAAACCCAC